GUUCUUCAGUUGAUUGAGGGCAAAUGUGAAGGACCGCUCAGUCUGGAGGAAUAUCGGUUGGUAAAAGAUUGUCUGUGCGGACAAAUAUAUGAUUCGACUCCUGUAGACUUUACCAGUGAUUUGGGCACUCGCUUUGUUCUUCACCCAUCUGUCACUAAAAUGGCCCACCCGCCUAGAGUGUUAUCAUGGAUGACAAAGGCUGUUGCUUCUGGGCUCGACACUCUAUUUAUAAAUAGAUUUGAAGAACAACGUGCUGACUAUUGGCAGACUCUGUACAACUCUGUGAGUGUCGGCCCAUU
rnacentral:misc_RNA from 1 species